rnacentral:rRNA from 1 species
UACGUAGGGGGCGAGCGUUAUCCGGAAUUACUGGGCGUAAAGGGUGCGUAGGCGGCUUUCUAAGUCAGAUGUGAAAGAGUACGGCUUAACCGUAUUAAGCAUUUGAAACUAGAGAGCUUGAGUGCAGGAGAGGAGAGUGGAAUUCCUAGUGUAGCGGUGAAAUGCGUAGAUAUUAGGAGGAACACCAGUGGCGAAGGCGACUCUCUGGACUGUAACUGACGCUGAGGCACGAAAGCGUGGGGAGCAAACAGG